rnacentral:lncRNA from 1 species
CUAUCUUCUAACUCCUCAAUAGUUAGUUUUUUUAUUCAUUUUGCUUUGUCUAGAUAUUUUUAUAAUAGGAUUAUUUAUAAUGUGAUUAACUAUCAGAUCUGAAUAAGUUAAAUUUCUCACCCAUUUUAGAUUUCAGUGGUUCGGCAAGAGAUCUAGGGAUGCUAGCCCUAGAGAUGACACCAACAGUUUAUUUAUGACUUACCACCCUAAAUCCUUCCCCGACUAAAGCAAAAUUUACCGUGCUUGCUAUCCGAUCUACUCUCUUUGUGACUUACCAUCCUAAAUGCCUUUUUUGGUUAAAGC